GAUGAACGCUGGCGGCGUGCUUAACACAUGCAAGUCGAACGAUGAACCUCACUUGUGGGGGGAUUAGUGGCGAACGGGUGAGUAACACGUGAGUAACCUGCCCUUGACUCUGGGAUAAGCCUGGGAAACCGGGUCUAAUACUGGAUACGACCUUCUGGCGCAUGCCAUGUUGGUGGAAAGCUUUUGUGGUUUUGGAUGGACUCGCGGCCUAUCAGCUUGUUGGUGGGGUAAUGGCCUACCAAGGCGACGACGGGUAGCCGGCCUGAGAGGGUGACCGGCCACACUGGGACUGCGACACGGCACAGACUCCUACGGGAGGCAGCAGUGGGGAAUAUUGCACAAUGGGAGCAAGCCUGAUGCAGCGACGCCGCGUGAGGGAUGAAGGCCUUAGGGUUGUAAACCUCUUUCAGUAGGGAAGAAGCCGGAUUUUGGGUUGGUGACGGUACCUGCAGAAGAAGCGCCGGCUAACUACGUG
rnacentral:rRNA from 1 species